rnacentral:rRNA from 1 species
AGUGAACGCUGGCGGUAGGCCUAACACAUGCAAGUCGAACGGCAGCACAGAGGAGCUUGCUCCUUGGGUGGCGAGUGGCGGACGGGUGAGGAAUACAUCGGAAUCUACUCUGUCGUGGGGGAUAACGUAGGGAAACUUACGCUAAUACCGCACACGACCUACGGGUGAAAGCAGGGGAUCUUCGGACCUUGCGCGAUUGAAUGAGCCGAUGUCGGAUUAGCUAGUUGGCGGGGUAAAGGUCCACCAAGGCGACGAUCCGUAGCUGGUCUGAGAGGAUGAUCAGCCACACUGGAACUGAGACACGGUCCAGACUCCUACGGGAGGCAGCAGUGGGGAAGAUUGGACAUGGGCGCAAGCCUGAUCCAGCCAUACCGCGUGGGUGAAGAAGGCCUUCGGGUUGUAAAGCCCUUUUGUUGGGAAAGAAAUCCAUCUGGUUAAUACCCGGGUGGGAUGACGGUACCCAAAGAAUAAGCACCGGCUAACUUCGUGCCAGCAGCCGCCGUAA